GGUGCGAUGCCCGAGUGGUUAAGGGGAAUGAUUAGAAAUCAUUUGGCUUCGGCCGCCUGGGUUCAAGUCCCAGUCGCACCUGA